rnacentral:rRNA from 1 species
GACGAACGCUGGCGGCGUGCUUAACACAUGCAAGUCGAACGGAAAGGCCCUGCUUGCAGGGUACUCGAGUGGCGAACGGGUGAGUAACACGUGGGUGAUCUGCCCUGCACUUCGGGAUAAGCCUGGGAAACUGGGUCUAAUACCGGAUAGGAGCCAUUUUUAGUGUGAUGGUUGGAAAGUUUUUUCGGUGUAGGGUGAGCUCGCGGCCUAUCAGCUUGUUGGUGGGGUAAUGGCCUACCAAGGCGGCGACGGGUAGCCGGCCUGAGAGGGUGGACGGCCACAUUGGGACUGAGAUACGGCCCAGACUCCUACGGGAGGCAGCGGUGGGGAAUAUUGCACAAUGGGCGCAAGCCUGAUGCAGCGACGCCGCGUGGGGGAUGACGGCCUUCGGGUUGUAAACUCCUUUCGCUAGGGACGAAGCUUUUUGUGACGGUACCUAGAUAAGAAGCACCGGCUAACUACGUG